rnacentral:sRNA from 1 species
GAGGCAGCAGACCGGGUGGGGUCCGGGUCGCGCCUGCGCCCGCCUGGACGCCUCGGGCCCGCCCGCUCCGCACCCUGGAAACCCCUGCACGCAGCCCCCCGGCGUCCCCACGCUCUCGGCCCUGCUGCGCCGGCGGCGGCCAUCUCUGGGCGGCGGCGGCGGCGGCGGCGGCGGCGGCGGGCGGUGUCUGCGAGGUCGGUGAGACCCAGACGGGUGAGGCGCUGGCCCUCCUUACAGCCUAGAAAAAAUGACAGAUCUCGUAGCUGUUUGGGAUGUUGCUUUAAGUGACGGAGUCCACAAGAUUGAAUUUGAACAUGGGACUACAUCAGGCAAACGAGUAGUAUAUGUAGAUGGAAAGGAAGAGAUAAGAAAAGAGUGGAUGUUCAAAUUAGUGGGCAAAGAAACAUUCUAUGUUGGAGCUGCAAAGACAAAAGCGACCAUAAAUAUAGACGCUAUCAGUGGUUUUGCGUAUGAAUAUACUCUGGAAAUUAAUGGGAAAAGUCUCAAGAAGUAUAUGGAGAACAGAUCAAAAACCACCAAUACUUGGGUAUUACACAUGGAUGAAAAAGAUACUAUGGACGUAUGGUGCAAUGGUAAAAAAUUGGAGACAGCGGUAAGUUGACUAUUUGAUGACUCUAAGUGCCAUGUGUCUAAGUUACCAUUGAAUUGUUGCUGCAUUUCCUAAUUAUAGAGAUUUUAUAAUGAACCAAAGCCCUCUUGAUAAAAACAAAAAAGGGAUUAAGUACUCCUGACUCCAGAUUCUGAAAACCUUUGCCAGAUGGUGCCUGG